rnacentral:piRNA from 1 species
UGCAGUGAAAUAGCCUAUAACUUGAAAA